rnacentral:rRNA from 1 species
UACGUGAGGGUGCGAGCGUUUGUCCGGAAUUAUUGGGCGUAAAGAGCUCGUAGGCGGUGUGUCACGUCGGCCGUGAAAACCUGCAGCUUAACUGUGGGCGUGCGGUCGAUACGGGCAUCACUGGAGUUCGGCAGGGGAGACUGGAAUUCCUGGUGUAGCGGUGAAAGUGCGCAGAUAGUCAGGAGGAACACCGAUGGCGAAGGCAGGUCUCUGGGCCGAUACUGACGUGAGGAGCGAAAGCGUGGGGAGCGAACAGG